rnacentral:rRNA from 1 species
GACGAACGCUGGCGGCGUGCUUAACACAUGCAAGUCGAACGGAAAGGCCCUGCUUUUGUGGGGUGCUCGAGUGGCGAACGGGUGAGUAACACGUGAGUAACCUGCCCUUGACUUUGGGAUAACUUCAGGAAACUGGGGCUAAUACCGGAUAGGAGCUCCUGCUGCAUGGUGGGGGUUGGAAAGUUUCGGCGGUUGGGGCUGGACUCGCGGCUUAUCAGCUUGUUGGUGGGGUAGUGGCUUACCAAGGCUUUGACGGGUAGCCGGCCUGGGAGGGGGGCCGGCCACAUUGGGACUGAGAUACGGCCCAGAAUCCUACGGGAGGCAGCAGUGGGGAAUAUUGCACAAUGGGCGGAAGCCUGAUGCAGCAACGCCGCGUGCGGGAUGACGGCCUUCGGGUUGUAAACCGCUUUCGCCUGUGACGAAGCGUGAGUGACGGUAAUGGGUAAAGAAGCACCGGCUAACUACGUG